AUGUUCAAAAACAUUUAUUCAAUUUAUUUUAUUCAGUGUUCUAUUGUCUACUUGUAUUGUCACACAAGUACUCUAGCCCCAGUUAUGGUGCCAAGGUUGGAAAUCUUGCUUUGGGUUAUCCUAAGCAUUGUUACUGGUCACUCUGCAACCAACAUUAGAAAAAAAAAUAAUUUUCUAACAUCCAUCCAUGACUCCUUCUUUAUCAUUCUUAGUAUCACUAACUUACUUUAUUUGAUAGUUUUUUUUUUUUCCAAUAACAUACAACAGGUCUCUUUUCCUCUAAUCUCUUUUUAAAAAAGUAAAUUUACUAAUUCUCUAAGAUAGAAUUUUAAUCAUAUCAGCUUUCAGGCUUAAUGUAUGCUUUUUUUGUAAUUUCUAAAUUAAGUAAAAGAAUUCUCAAAUUGAUCCAGCUGCCCUCCCACUCUCUGACCUAAACAUAAUGUUUCUAGAUACAGCAGUUUGAUCCUAUUCCUUCAUGCUUAUUUUCCAUACCUGUGUAACAGGAUGACUAUUCCCUAAAUAAGAACACAGUCCCAUCUGUGAGCCACUGCUCUUUCCAUCUGAAACAAGUGCCUGUUCCAGAGCAUUGCCUUCUCUGCCUGUCAAAAUCACAUCUUUAACAUCUAUCUGAGAUACUGUAUUUUUCAUUGAGACUAAAGAAGAUAGACGUAACCUCCUUUUUCUGAACCAAUAUACUCUUAUUUUAUCAACUAAUUGAGCCUUUAAUAUGUUUCACUUACUUUUCUAAGUGUUCAUGUAAAUUAAUUUGCUUUCAAGCUAUACUACUUGUAAAAACUGUGUUGUGUUAUUUUACUGACCAUAUCCCUACUGCUGUAUUAUAAGCUCCACGAGGGGCAGUGGCUUUGCAAAGACCCCGAAUAGUUUAGGCAAAGUUCAGUAUUUAUGACUCUUUUGGAAAAGAAAUGAGUGAAAAAUAAAAGUCAUAAAAUGUGAUUCUCUUCUCAAAGUUGUUAUGAUUUUGGGAAAAUGAAAAACAACCCAAGGAAACAGGCAGUAAAUAAUAAUUUUUAGCUGCCUGGACAAUUUAUUUCCAUAAUUCUUUUAUUAAAAUGAAAAACCAGAGUGUAAAAGUUUAUGAAAAUUGAGUCAAUUGAGAAGGAUUCAAUAACUGCUAGUUAUGAUGGAAAUUCUGUUUCCAUAUAAAGCUUACCCUUUAUGUAAAAGAUAUAUUGUUAUUAAUUAUUAUUGAGAAAAUUCUUGAAAUAUACAUGCUUCCCUCUGUUCUUCAAAACAGGGUAUACCAAAAUACCACUUAUUCUUUCUUCAAUAAUGAAGUCAUCAAAAAUAUUGAUUACUAAACUAUGCAGUUAUAAGGUCAUGCCUUCAGUACUUAAGUGAGAUCGAUCAAGACAUUUGCUUUAUUGCUGCACAGGUUGCUCCUUGAGUCUUCUUCCUCAUUAUGAACAAUGAUACAGUGUUUCCACGUUAAAUAACUCUAAUCUAUGGAGCAUUCUUCUUUUCUUGAUUCAAGAAAAUUCAAGGCACAGAUAAUUCCAUAAAAUAACUCCACUGGCUCUCAGCACACAAAAACAAACAGCUGAAGUAUAUUACAAGAAUACCUCAGAGGAAGGGCUCUUUUAACAUGACUAUUUAAUGGCAGUACUGUCUCCUAAAGUUAAGUCCCCAGCAAAAAGAAACAAGGACUAUCAUGCAAGACAGCAAAAAAGACACAGAUGUGUAUAGUGGACUUUUGGACU
rnacentral:lncRNA from 1 species